rnacentral:rRNA from 1 species
ACGGGAGGCAGCAGUGAGGAAUAUUGGUCAAUGGGCGGAAGCCUGAACCAGCCAAGUCGCGUGAAGGAUGAAGGUAUUAUGUAUUGUAAACUUCUUUAGACGCAGAGAAAUAAGCGGGACGCGUCCCGCGAUGCUAGUAUGCGUAGAAUAAGGAUCGGCUAACUCCGUGCCAGCAGCCGCGGUAAUACGGAGGAUCCGAGCGUUAUCCGGAUUUAUUGGGUUUAAAGGGUGCGCAGGCGGCUUUUUAAGUCAGCGGUUAAAUCGUGAGGCUCAACCUCAUCUCGCCGUUGAUACUGGAGAGCUUGAUUGCGGUCGAGGUUGGCGGAAUUCGUCGUGUAGCGGUGAAAUGCAUAGAUAUGACGAAGAACACCGAUUGCGUAGGCAGCUGACCAGACCGUAAAUGACGCUCAUGCACGAAAGUGCGGGGAUCGAACAGGAUUAGAUACCCUGGUA